rnacentral:rRNA from 1 species
GAUUAAGUUAUUAAGGGCGCACGGUGGAUGCCUUGGCACUAGAAGCCGAUGAAGGACGUUACUAACGACGAUAUGCUUUGGGGAGCUGUAAGUAAGCUUUGAUCCAGAGAUUUCCGAAUGGGGAAACCCAGCAUGAGUUAUGUCAUGUUAUCGAUAUGUGAAUACAUAGCAUAUCAGAAGGCACACCCGGAGAACUGAAACAUCUUAGUAUCCGGAGGAAGAGAAAGAAAAUUCGAUUCCCUUAGUAGCGGCGAGCGAAACGGGAAGAGCCCAAACCAACAAGCUUGCUUGUUGGGGUUGUAGGACACUCUAUACGGAGUUACAAAGGACGACAUUAGACGAAUCAUCUGGAAAGAUGAAUCAAAGAAGGUAAUAAUCCUGUAGUCGAAAAUGUUGUCUCUCUUGAGUGGAUCCUGAGUACGACGGAGCACGUGAAAUUCCGUCGGAAUCUGGGAGGACCAUCUCCUAAGGCUAAAUACUCUCUAGUGACCGAUAGUGAACCAGUACCGUGAGGGAAAGGUGAAAAGCACCCCGGAAGGGGAGUGAAAUAGAACCUGAAACCGUGUGCUUACAAGUAGUCAGAGCCCGUUAAUGGGUGAUGGCGUGCCUUUUGUAGAAUGAACCGGCGAGUUACGAUUUGAUGCAAGGUUAAGCAGUAAAUGUGGAGCCGUAGCGAAAGCGAGUCUGAAUAGGGCGUUUAGUAUUUGGUCGUAGACCCGAAACCAGGUGAUCUACCCUUGGUCAGGUUGAAGUUCAGGUAACACUGAAUGGAGGACCGAACCGACUUACGUUGAAAAGUGAGCGGAUGAACUGAGGGUAGCGGAGAAAUUCCAAUCGAACCUGGAGAUAGCUGGUUCUCUCCGAAAUAGCUUUAGGGCUAGCCUCAAGUGAUGAUUAUUGGAGGUAGAGCACUGUUUGGACGAGGGGCCCCUCUCGGGUUACCGAAUUCAGACAAACUCCGAAUGCCAAUUAAUUUAACUUGGGAGUCAGAACAUGGGUGAUAAGGUCCGUGUUCGAAAGGGAAACAGCCCAGACCACCAGCUAAGGUCCCAAAAUAUAUGUUAAGUGGAAAAGGAUGUGGCGUUGCCCAGACAACUAGGAUGUUGGCUUAGAAGCAGCCAUCAUUUAAAGAGUGCGUAAUAGCUCACUAGUCGAGUGACACUGCGCCGAAAAUGUACCGGGGCUAAACAUAUUACCGAAGCUGUGGAUUGUCCUUUGGACAAUGGUAGGAGAGCGUUCUAAGGGCGUUGAAGCAUGAUCGUAAGGACAUGUGGAGCGCUUAGAAGUGAGAAUGCCGGUGUGAGUAGCGAAAGACGGGUGAGAAUCCCGUCCACCGAUUGACUAAGGUUUCCAGAGGAAGGCUCGUCCGCUCUGGGUUAGUCGGGUCCUAAGCUGAGGCCGACAGGCGUAGGCGAUGGAUAACAGGUUGAUAUUCCUGUACCACCUAUAAUCGUUUUAAUCGAUGGGGGGACGCAGUAGGAUAGGCGAAGCGUGCGAUUGGAUUGCACGUCUAAGCAGUAAGGCUGAGUAUUAGGCAAAUCCGGUACUCGUUAAGGCUGAGCUGUGAUGGGGAGAAGACAUUGUGUCUUCGAGUCGUUGAUUUCACACUGCCGAGAAAAGCCUCUAGAUAGAAAAUAGGUGCCCGUACCGCAAACCGACACAGGUAGUCAAGAUGAGAAUUCUAAGGUGAGCGAGCGAACUCUCGUUAAGGAACUCGGCAAAAUGACCCCGUAACUUCGGGAGAAGGGGUGCUCUUUAGGGUUAACGCCCAGAAGAGCCGCAGUGAAUAGGCCCAAGCGACUGUUUAUCAAAAACACAGGUCUCUGCUAAACCGUAAGGUGAUGUAUAGGGGCUGACGCCUGCCCGGUGCUGGAAGGUUAAGAGGAGUGGUUAGCUUCUGCGAAGCUACGAAUCGAAGCCCCAGUAAACGGCGGCCGUAACUAUAACGGUCCUAAGGUAGCGAAAUUCCUUGUCGGGUAAGUUCCGACCCGCACGAAAGGCGUAACGAUUUGGGCACUGUCUCAACGAGAGACUCGGUGAAAUCAUAGUACCUGUGAAGAUGCAGGUUACCCGCGACAGGACGGAAAGACCCCGUGGAGCUUUACUGUAGCCUGAUAUUGAAAUUCGGCACAGCUUGUACAGGAUAGGUAGGAGCCUUUGAAACGUGAGCGCUAGCUUACGUGGAGGCGCUGGUGGGAUACUACCCUAGCUGUGUUGGCUUUCUAACCCGCACCACUUAUCGUGGUGGGAGACAGUGUCAGGCGGGCAGUUUGACUGGGGCGGUCGCCUCCUAAAAGGUAACGGAGGCGCUCAAAGGUUCCCUCAGAAUGGUUGGAAAUCAUUCAUAGAGUGUAAAGGCAUAAGGGAGCUUGACUGCGAGACCUACAAGUCGAGCAGGGUCGAAAGACGGACUUAGUGAUCCGGUGGUUCCGCAUGGAAGGGCCAUCGCUCAACGGAUAAAAGCUACCCCGGGGAUAACAGGCUUAUCUCCCCCAAGAGUUCACAUCGACGGGGAGGUUUGGCACCUCGAUGUCGGCUCAUCGCAUCCUGGGGCUGUAGUCGGUCCCAAGGGUUGGGCUGUUCGCCCAUUAAAGCGGUACGCGAGCUGGGUUCAGAACGUCGUGAGACAGUUCGGUCCCUAUCCGUCGUGGGCGUAGGAAAUUUGAGAGGAGCUGUCCUUAGUACGAGAGGACCGGGAUGGACAUACCUCUGGUGUACCAGUUGUCGUGCCAACGGCAUAGCUGGGUAGCUAUGUGUGGACGGGAUAAGUGCUGAAAGCAUCUAAGCAUGAAGCCCCCCUCAAGAUGAGAUUUCCCAACUUCGGUUAUAAGAUCCCUCAAAGAUGAUGAGGUUAAUAGGUUCGAGGUGGAAGCAUGGUGACAUGUGGAGCUGACGAAUACUAAUCGAUCGAAGACUUAAUCAA